UUUUUUAAAAAAAAAAUUAAAAAAUUAUUUUAUUUGCCACGUAGCAGACAUUUGGCAGCCACGUGUCAUAUAUGUGGCAGCCACAUCAACAUUUAACAGAUCCAUGGAUGGAAAAUCUAACGGUUGUAUGAAAUUGAAAUAAAAUAGUACUUGAGGUAUGAAAGUGAAAUGUUUUAAAGAUGUUGUAUGAGAUUGCAAUAGAGCUCAAACUUGAGGGGCUACUAUGUAAUUUACCCUUUAAACAAAUAUCUAACACAUUAAAUCAUUUGAAAAACAUAAAACAUAAACUUUAUGAAAUAAAUCAAAACUUUGAAUCAAAACACAAAACUUUUUGUUCUUGGCAAAAAUGUCAAGAACAAUGAAGAACAUUUAUGAAAAACUCAAAAAUUUUCCAUGAACAUUUUUCACCCAAAAACAUUCAAAAACCAUUCAAACUUUAGGGAAAUAACAUAUAACCAAACUAGGGUACAUAGGGGUUCCAAAAGUCACUAAAACACUUUUAACAAGUCAAACAAGAACCCAAAAUUCCACCCUUUGGAUUUGGCCGAAAAUUCCCAAAAACAUGGCACCAAAUUUUAGCUCCAAUAUUCAUGCUCAUAUGAACUACAUCUACAACAUUUGAGAUGGCAAAUUUUCUAACAAAAUUUACAUUCAAAGAAACAAGAAUAAAGCUUGUAACAUAUUACAACUUUUAAAUCACAAACUAUGAACUACAAAACCCAAAAGGAUUCACCAACUACUAGACCUAGGCUCUGAUACCACUUGAAGGAUUAUUUUGUGAAAACAUGUUCAUUUGAAUAACAUCUAUAGCAUGUAUUUAACAAUUAAAAGGCGGAAUCAUGCUUGCAUGCAUUCAAAAACAAAACAUUAACCAUGAAAUUCAAAGCCUAGUAGAUUAAUGAACCAAGACUCAACUCAAAAUCAAAGUGAGUUGAAAUUUACCUUUGUAGAUUCCUCUUUGCAUAAGUAAAGGCUAAUCACCCAAAGAGAGGGCCUUCAUUCCUUGCAUCUAAAAUCUAUGGAUUUGGAUGGAUGAAAAGGUUUCUCCAAGUUCCCAAAAUUGAGAACCUCUAAGUAUCCACACCAAGGUUAGAUUGGAGAAGAAAAUGAGUGACCUUGGAGGAUUAGUAUGGCUAGAUACGCCCUCCAAGGGGGCCGGCCUCCUAGAGAGAAAAGGAGAGACAUGUUCUCUCCAAUUUUCUCCAAAAGAACCCAUAAUGAAUUUAGGCUAUAAAGUCCUUUAUAUAGUCACUUCAAAUAAGUGACCUAAAGAACCAAAAAACCAUUGUCUCUAACAUGGCCGGCCAUAUAGGGAAUUUGGGCUUUUGGGCCUUUGUGAAUCUUUAUUCAUUAAAUUGUCAUACAACUUAAGUCAAUGGGCUUGAUGUUCGAAGCCCAUUGGGCUUUAAGGUCCAAAACUAUCCCGAGGUCUUUAACGAACUUAUUCGUUUGAUUAAUUAACAUAUUAAUUAAUCCUUGCCAUAAAUAAUUAAACCAUUUAAUUAUUCUUACUCAUCUCCAUUGUUUCUUCAAUCUCCACCUUACACGGUGUACGAUCCAUUAGUUUCCUUUUAGCGAGGUAGUGGGCGAUUAAAACCAUUUCACAUCGAUUGUGAAUUGAAACUUACUUUCAAUUCUCCCUUUAGUGAUUAUACACGUUUAGGGCUUCCACAAACCAAGAGUGACACCUAGCAGCAUAUCAUGGUUACCCAAGCUAAUCAGAAGAGGUAGAGAACCUAUUCAGUUUAGGAUUACAAAUGCAAUACGGUAUUUCUCUAAUACAAUACUCUUGACCACAUUGUUUGGUUUGAUAGUUUAUUCAUGUCUACUAUCCAAUGUGAUUCGUGUGAUUAUAUGAUUACCUUGAAUUUGAUUUAUAACGACUUUUCUAAAUCUCAUUCAUACUCUGGCCAGAGAUUCUUAAUCAUAUAAUAGAGUAUUCUCCCCUAAACGGUUUGAAGGUUAGAGAUCCCUUGUUGCGCAUUCACUUGACUCCAUAGCUAAGUGGCUUAACCCCAACGAUGCCGUGGACACCCGCG
rnacentral:lncRNA from 1 species